rnacentral:misc_RNA from 1 species
UUUUAAGCAAAGAAGAGUUUUAUUAAAGUAAUAAAGGAAGGAAGGAUGGUUAUUAGCAACACCCAGUCAAAAGAACAAAUUAAACCAACCAACAAAAAGCCAAUCUCCAAGCCAAACAGAAAACAAGGACAAAAAAAGUUCAGGACACGAAUUAACAACACACCAUAUAGUGCAUGUACUUGCCAUUCUGCAAAUUUAGAGCUCUUCCAUGUCUAGUUGCCAGAUACUUUAAUGUGUUUCGGUUAAUCAUGUGGUCAGAAAUCAAGCAAUUACUCUUCACACACUAACAUCAAGAACAAGAAAACUCUCUUACGUACCAAUAUCAGGGGUCACCUUGGACAAAGCAGUUCGUUCCUUUUCAG